rnacentral:lncRNA from 10 species
GAAGAAGUAACUGGAACAGAAUCAUCUGGCAAAAUCCACUGAGAAAAAUGGAAAAAAGUACCACCUGGUUUCCUUACUGGCAAUAUUUUUAGUGGCAGUAAUAUCCAAAUAAUGUGGAUCUCAAUCAAGGCUGUCAAAUAAACACAUUGCUAGGAGGAUCACCUCAACCUGUAGGAGCUUCCUUCCUGCCAAGAAGCUGGUUCAUUCACCACUGAGCAUCAUCAUCAUGGCAUGGACCAGCGUUUCUCUUUCACCAAAGCGAAAUGCUUAGGGAAGCGUUACCCUGCCAUAUGUCAGCCUUGAUGGAUGAGCCAGUGCUACGAUGGAUUUACCAAUCCCAUGACAUGUCUUACCCUGCUGGAGGUUCAAGCCAAGACAUAGAAAGAGGACAUUACCUGGGACAGGAAUUAAUGCCUAUCACUGGGGAUGCCUGCAGCACCAUUGUCACCAUUGGCUGCAGUUCACUGAGUGCUUCCUCCCUGCCAGGCACCUUGCACACCUUAUUUUCAGUCUCCGCAGCUGCCUUGUUGAGGUUGGCUCUCUAUUCUUCUGUUUCACAGUUGAGGAAACUGAGGUUAAGAGAUGUGAAUGAAUUUUCUCAAAGUAACAUUAGGUAUUAGUAAGAUUUCAUUUAUCCAUUCACUGUUAAAUAUUAUUAAGUAACUACAGUGCUUUAAGAACUCCAUGUAAAUGGUGGAUUUGAGGCAAAACUUUAAAAGCUGAAUUAAAUAAGGAGCUAACAUUGCAAAAAGCUGAGAAACUUAUGUUCUCGGUGGAGCAAAUAGGUUGUGUCUUUUCGGUUACAAGUAAUAAAAUCCAGAGGCUACCUCAAGGGAAAAAUAAAGCACUAGAUGGUCUACCAAAGACAGAGAGGCAGGUGGAUUUUGGGAAGGGGUAGGAAUGAACAGCUAGAAAAAUGUGACUUACGUUUUCUCUCUUAUCUGCCCCUUAGCUUCGUAGCUUUCUUGUUCUCAUGUAUAGAGUGAUCAAAGAUGACC